rnacentral:lncRNA from 1 species
CUCGUCCCCCAACACCUCCUGUGGGCAGUCCUGGGGGAGGUGCUCCCUUAGGGCCUUCCAGGGAAGAACCAAGGUUCAGAGAAGUCAAGUCACAUGGACACAGAGACAGACACCUCUGGGGCAGCCUUGAGCUCCUGUAAACCACCGGUGUACCUGGAAGGCUGUCUGGCUGUUGUAGUUGCGGACAUCCCUGUUAGCUCCACGGAAGAGCAGGACACGAGCACAGCUCUCCUGUUGCGGGGAAGAGGGAAUCACAGCUGGGUGGCUGGAGAGACCAUCCGAGCACAACAGCACAUGCGCACACAGGAAUGCACACAUGGCGUGCGCAGGGCACAGGCUCACACACACGGACUCACACCUAUUUGUUCCAUGUACACCUGAGUUGCAGAGACAAGCCAGUAGGUAUACACGCUCAGGUCUCACCUGGCCCAGAGGGCCUAGAUGUACCCAAUUCAUACCUGGUUAUUCAGAACACACGUGCACACAUGUGAAGCCCCUGUGUGUUCAGAGAACAAAUGUGCACACAUAUGCCUAUGAGGCUGUGCUGCAGCCACAACUCACUGCAGGACACAGAGCACAUAUAUAUACCAUGGCACAGAGGCAGGGAUGCACAUACACAAUCACUGUACAGGGUCAUCUGUGUGCACACACACGUGUACACCCCCAGAACAGGCAAGUAUUUCCACACUCCCUGGUGCACGCAUGCAAUCACUGUACAGGGUCACCUGUGUGCACACACAUGUACACCCCCAGAACAGACAAGUAUAUCCACACUCACUGGUACAUGCAUACAAUCACUGUACAGAGUCAUCUGUGUGCACACAGACACAUGUACAACCCCAGAACAGGCAAGUAUAUCCACACUCCCUGG